AAAAAAAAAGAAAAGAAAAAAAAAGGAAGCUAUGAAUGAAUUUCUUUCACAUGGAGAAUCUCGGUUUGUUAUUAAGUUAAGAUCUUGUAGAUCUUCGUGAAUAUACAGAGAGCCUGACAUCCCUUAUAAUAUGAAUGACAUUUUUCAGUAAUGCUCAGAAUACAGUUAAGACCGAAUUUUCUAUUAUAGUUAUUUUACUUAAAGAUUUUCAUAAGGAAGUUCGUAGGCUGUGAUAUUGACCAACAAAUAAAAGAUUGAGCUUAAGAGAUGGUACAAUUCUCUCUCUCCUUUCUCUUCUGAGCUUUCUCCAACCCUCCACUGAAGCAACUCCUGGACUUUCCUCUCCAUUGAAGAAGCUUGAGAGGUUAUUUGAUGAUUCUCUGAUCUCCAGAAAUGGGUGAGGAGGCUACUAAAGUUGUUGUACUGGAGUCAGUUUUGAAAAAGCAGAAGAGGGAGGAAGAAUGGACUUUGGCCAAGAAGGAGGAUCAGGAUGUUCAGAAGAAGAAGAGAGUUGAAAUCAGGAAGCUGAUCACUAACUACAGUAGUAAAUUUGAUCACAUUAAUUAAUUACACAAAAUUCAGCAAGAAAGUGCAUCAGGAAUAAUAAUUUAAUUAAGAUUAUUUAUUUGCCGAAAGAGAGGGAAUUGAUCUGUCUCAGAAGGGAGACUAAAUUGAAGGGUGGAUUCUACGUCGAGCCAGAGGCUAAGCUCCUAUUUAUCAUCCGUUUCAGGAUGAUUUUGUGUUGGGAAAGAAAUUGGGAGAAGAGGCUCUUAUAGUUGUUUAUAGGGUUUCUUAGUUAAUAACAAGAUGCCCUCUGUGAAGGUAUCUUUUUUGAUGGAUUGUCCAUGAUGAAUGUAUAAUUUUAUCUAUUCUGAUUUUCAUUUGGCAUAAAGAUAUUGUACUGAUUGAUUGAUGGUGUUUGAUGCAUGCAACUGCAAGUGUUUGUUGUUUAGAAUACGUUUUUUGAGUUCA